ensembl:lncRNA
GGAAAUUGUUCAGGGAGACCCAUUGGUGAAGGACUUUCUGGAGAGAUGGCCUUCCCUUCGGGUCCAAUCACAGGUCUGUGCUGAGUUCCACAGGAUCACCAACGUAAAUUUACGGAACCAGUUUUAUGCUGAACUAGAUCGGCACAUUCCACAGCUCAUAGGACUUUACAGACAGAAGGCAGCUCGUACUGGAAGGGUGGCAGGAGCACUGCCAGCAAUCCUACAGUAUUACGACAUUGAUUAUACCUGCGGGAAGAGGACACACAGUUUUUCAAGACUUGGAACAGAGACGAAUCGGAGGAACCAGAUAUCAGUGACACUCCUGUUGGUAUUCUCACAGUGGUCACAGAGAGAAGUACAUCUCCAGUUCACUUCAGUCCUUCAAGCGCAGCCAUUGUGGUGGAAGAUGAGUUGGUUAUGAUGGACAUUGCCACGUUUGCGAAGCGCAUGUGUUACUGUUUGGGCUGGUUUAUGCUUUGCAUCUGGACUACCCAAAGAAGCUUGUUAACACGUUCACCUUCAUUCAGAAGGUACUGAUGGGGAUGGAUGAUGGUGCACCACUCAAACCUUCUUUGCUCUGUUUGAAAAAUGACCUGCUAACGACAAUGUAGAAGUUGUGGAUUUGUCCAGACACCUGUAUCAUGACAGCAUGUUUGUUGUUGCAUUGUUUCAUUGUUUAUUUGAUUGAUUGUUCUAUGCAAGAUGUGCCUUAUUAAAGAGAUACUUCACCUGUGGGAAUAUGAAGGUUAUAUGAAUUAAAUAAUACAAUGUAUUAUAAAUGUGAAAAAAAAAUUGAAAUCG